UACGUAGGGGGCAAGCGUUGUCCGGAAUCAUUGGGCGUAAAGCGCGUGUAGGCGGCCCGAUAAGUCCGCUGUGAAAGUCGGGGGCUCAACCCUCGAAAGCCGGUGGAUACUGUCGGGCUCGAGUGCGGAAGAGGCGAGUGGAAUUCCUGGUGUAGCGGUGAAAUGCGCAGAUAUCAGGAGGAACACCGAUUGCGAAGGCAGCUCGCUGGGACGUUACUGACGCUGAGACGCGAAAGCGUGGGGAGCAAACAGG
rnacentral:rRNA from 1 species